UGGAUGAGGCAUCCUUUCUAUUGCUGCGGUCUUCAUUUAUUCUCCAUUGCAGUAUCAACACCGCACACAAGGCGAUAGGAGUGUAUCUGACUUACUUUGCUGCAAAAUUGAGGGACAAUUAAAGGGUGUGAAUUGAAAACUUAAAUCUGUAGAUAAGUUUGAUCUUUAAGAAGCUCUAUGAGGAAAACAUCAAGAAAUGAAAUGCUUCACAGUAGGGUUCCUAUCGUAGGCCGAUUAAUAGUUAAACCAAAGAUGUCAGAUUCUAAUCCCUGGAGCCUAUAAAUGUUACCUUAUAAAGAAAAUAUAUCUUUGCAUAUAUGAUUAGGCUAAGGAUCUUGACAUGGGGAAAUUAUGCUGGAUUAUCCAGGUGGGCCCUGAAUCUAGUCACGUUUCCUUAAAAGAGAGAUUUUGCACAUAGAGGAAAAGCUGAUGUGAAGAUGGAGGCAGAGAUUGGAGUGAUAGAGCCUCAAGCCAGAGUGCGAACAGCAGUGAAGCCUGUAAGAGGCCAGGCUCAGGUGCUUCCUGAAAGCCUCUGGGGGCAGCAGCAUUCUCCUGAUGCCUUGACUCCAGACUUUUGGGCUCCAGAACAGUGAGAGGAAAUAUUUGUAUUUUCUUUUUCUUUCUCUCUUUCUUCUUCUUCUUUUUUUUUUUUUGAGACAGAGUCUCUUUCUGCUGCCCAGGCUGGAGUGCAGUAGUAUAAUCUUGGCUCCCUGCAGCCUCUGCCUCCCAGGUUCAAGCAGUUCUCCUACCUCAGCCUCCCAAAUAGCUGGGAUUACAGGUGCAUGCUGCUACACCCAGCUAAUUGUUUUUAUUUUAGUAGAGACAUAGUCUCACUAUGUUGCCCAGGCUGGUCUCAAACUCCUGAGCUCAAGUGGUCUCCUCCCACCUUGUCUUUCCAAACUGCUAGGAUUGCAGGUGCGAACCACCAUCCCUGGGCAUGUCUCUUUUCUUAACUUUUCCUCAGUUUCUGAAGCUUUCCACAGCAUUAGAGCAAUGAAUAACAUGGACUUUCCUGUCUGUGAUGUUGUGGUGGUUGGUGCUAGAGUAUAGGGAAGAUAUUUAAAAGCAUUCCAAGGGAUAUAUAAAACCACAAGAUAAGUUGGUAUCAUUUCCCAAAAGUUAAGCUAUUAUUUCCUAAAGUUCUCCAGUUUAGCUUGGGCUCAGUGCGGGUAAUUCUGUUGCUCCACUUGGUGACCACAGGAGCUAGAGUAUUUAAGAUGGUGUGUUUGAAUGAUUAAAUCAGAAAUGAGCUCCUUGGUAAACUGAAGACUUUAUUUGGGAACCAAAAAACUUAAAAACCAAAAACCUUCUGUUCAUUGCUGAACCGUGUAUUUUUCCUGAAAAGUAUGUGUUUUUCCCUAGCAAAAUUUUGUUGAGGGUUAUGUUACUGAAGCAUAAACAGAGAUGAAUAAGUGGAGGUGUUAUGUAAAGGCAUACUGUACUCAAAAAACAAAGACCUGCAGCAGAUUUAAAUUCCAACUGUUGUUAUAACUUUUCAAAAGACUGUGAAAAUCUGAAAAUGUACAUGAAUCAAGUUUUAAAAUACUGCAUGAUGGGUGGAUGAGGCUGUCCAUUGUACCAUUUGUUUGAAUUCUCAGGCAUGGUUUGGCAGUGCAAGAACUCUGUAACAUUAACAAAUUCAAUAAAAAGUAAAUAUAUGGAAAAAAAAGAUGGAGUGUUUGAAAUGGUUUCUUUACUAACGUGACUGCUGCUUCAGCUGCAAGGACAGCGGGAGCUGGUGGUUAGCCAGGCAUCUCUGUCUCUCUCCACACAGUCUUUCUAUUAGGGUAGCUGAAUCUUCUUACAUGGUGGCUCAGGACAUCAAGAGAGAGAAUUCCAGGAAGACAAAGCUCAUUGUGAAAGUAUUUGCUAAACUUCUGUUUGCAUUGUACUUGCUAAUACCCCACUGGGAAAAGGAAAUCACAUGCCCUCGCCUAGAGUCAACAUGGAAAGGGCUUGAAUACUGAAGACAUGAUUCAGUAGGAGUCAGCAAUGGAGUAAUGUGCCAUGAAUUUUAAAGAUGAAGCAUGUAAUUUCAAGAUUACUUUAUUCUUAUGGUGGGCCAGGACUCAGCUAUACUGGAUAGUGCAUUUCCUUUAUUCUGUUGUUGAGAACCAGUUCAAGCCAGUUUAGUAUGCACAACUAUUCACUUCUUUUUGGUAUAUAUUGGGAGUCGUUAAUGAUUGGAGGUAAUGAGGGUUAAUUACUCUCUCAUAACCUUGUAUCAGGUUAUUAGAAGUCCCAGACCAAAUUCUAUUAUUCACAUAGAGUAGCAUGUCUGAAAGCAGGCACAAAACAAUAUUGAACUACUCUGUAAAUAUAGUUUAGGGAUCUAGCCUAGGGCUCUAUUUCUUAGGAUGUAGGUUCCAGAGCUCACUAGAAUCUCUCAUCCUCUUUGUGUAAGCAUGGAGAACAUCCAUAAAAUAUUUCUAAUUUCCCAAGUGGAAGCUGAAUUUUUAUCAAUUAACCAGCCACAAAUCCCACCAAUAAAAACCCACUUCUAACAUUAUGCUGAUUAGAAAAGCUCCAACAUUGAGGGAAGACAAUAAUGACUAAAGAUCUUUUAGUCUUUUCUAGUGUAUGACCUUUCUAAUAAAAUUAGCUAAUCAUCCCUAAAGGUAGAUCUAUGAUCAGGACAAUAUCCUGUAACAAGAGCGUAGCUGUAAUUGACACACACAAUCUAUACUAAAGAAUAUCAAAAUAAAAUGGGGAUAUGUCUGUCAAAGGGUACAAAGUUAUAGCUACACAUGAUAAAUAGGUUCUGAUAAUCUAGUGUGCAGCAAGAGGUAGAUACUAAAUAUUCUCCCCAUAACAAGGAUGACAAUAUGUGAGGCAAUGGAUACGUUAAUUACCUUGAUUUAAUCAUUUCAUAAUGUCUAUGUAUAUUAAAACAUCACUUUGUACACCAUAAGCAUAUAUAUUUUUAAUUUGCCAAUUAUACCUUAAUAAAACUGGGUUAAAAAAUGUAUAGAUACAAUAAUAUGUGCCUUUAAGGGUGCUUUGGUGGAAAAAUUGGAGAAGGCUUUACCAACUUCACCAGAAAAUUAGGACCUUGAGGAUUAUGCCUUGUGGAUGAAUAGCUUCUGAGAACAGCAGCAUCCCAGUUCUCAAGUAACUGUUUCCAAAACCAAUCUAAGUUUCAU
ensembl:lncRNA